rnacentral:rRNA from 1 species
CCUACGGGAGGCAGCAGUAGGGAAUAUUGCGCAAUGGAGGAAACUCUGACGCAGUGACGCCGCGUGCAGGAAGAAGGUUUUCGGAUUGUAAACUGCUUUAGACAGGGCAGAAACAAGACAGUACCUGUAAAAUAAGACCCGGCUAACUCCGGGCCAGCACCCCCGGAAAUACGUAGGGAGAAAGCGUUAUCCGGAUUUAUUGGGUGUAAAGGGUGCGUAGACGGGAAGUCAAGUCGGUUGUUAAAGCCCUAGGCUUAACUGUGGAAUUGCAAUCAAAACUAACUUUCUUGAGUGCUGGAGAGGAAAGUGGAAUUCCUGGUGGAGCGGUGAAAUGCUUAGAUAUUAGGAGGAACACCAGUGGCGAAGGCGACUUUCUGGACAGUAACUGACGCUGAGGCACGAAAGUGUGGGGAGCAAACAGGAUUAGAUACCCCGGUAGUC